CCUACGAGAGGCUGCAGUGAGGAAUAUUGGUCAAUGGACGAGAGUCUGAACCAGCCAAGUAGCGUGAAGGAUGACUGCCCUAUGGGUUGUAAACUUCUUUUAUAUGGGAAUAAAACAGGGUAUGCAUACCCUCUUGUAUGUACCAUAUGAAUAAGGAUCGGCUAACUCCGUGCCAGCAGCCGCCGUAAUACGGAGGAUCCGAGCGUUAUCCGGAUUUAUGGGGUUUAAAGGUAGCGUAGGUGGAUUGUUAAGUCAGUUGUGAAAGGUUGCGGCUCAACCGUAAAAUUGCAGUUGAAACUGGCAGUCUUGAGUACAGUAGAGGUGGGCGGAAUUCGUGGUGUAGCGGUGAAAUGCUUAGAUAUCACGAAGAACUCCGAUUGCGAAGGCAGCUCACUGGACUGCAACUGACACUGAUGCUCGAAAGUGUGGGUAUCAAACAGGAUUAGAUACCCUUGUAGUC
rnacentral:rRNA from 1 species